rnacentral:rRNA from 1 species
UACGUAGGCAGCGAGCGUUGUUCGGAGUUACUGGGCGUAAAGAGCUUGUAGGUGGUUUGUCGCGUUGUUCGUGAAAUCUCACGGCUUAACUGUGAGCGUGCGGGCGAUACGGGCAGACUAGAGUACUGCAGGGGAGACUGGAAUUCCUGGUGUAGCGGUGGAAUGCGCAGAUAUCAGGAGGAGCACCGGUGGCGAAGGCGGGUCUCUGGGCAGUAACUGACGCUGAGAAGCGAAAGCGUGGGGAGCGAACAGG